rnacentral:lncRNA from 1 species
CCCAGUUCUUGUAGAACCUUCUCCUGACCUCCUCGCUCAAGUGCUGUGCCCAGACGGUGUUGAGAGACCUCAGACCACGGGGGGUUUUGACGUAGGCAACAACACCGACGACCACCAUGGCGGGUGUCUCGAUGAUGGUAACAGCCUCGCAGGUCUCCUUCUUGUGAAGCUCUAUACAAGAUUACACAAGCAAACAAAAUAGUAUAAAUAAUGAAAUUUGAUUAAUAAUUUUUUUUUAAAAAAGAAUGAAUUAAAUGAGAGUGAAACUUACUGGAUCCGGGCUUCUCGACAUCUCUAACAAUGUGGGUUAUACCGGCCUUGUAUCCCAUGAAGGCUGUGAACUUGCAAGGCUUGCUUUGGUCAUCCUUAGGGAACGCCUUCACUGUUUUUUUUAAGUACAACAACAUUAAUUUGUAAAAGAAAAGACAACAAACUCCAAAGUAACUUACAUCCCAAUCAUAGUACUAAAAGUCGGAUUAAUUUUUUUAAUUUUCCAGAUAAUCACAAGUAGGGUUUCAAUGAAACGCAAAAAAUAAAUUUAAAUAUUUGAGGCGACUUUUUCAACGGUACGGUAAAUAUUUUAAAUAUUUUUUUCAUUCAACGCUUGCAAAUUAUAUUGUUGUCACAUUUUUAUGUUAUCUGUCACCACAGACGUAAUCGUUAAACACUAGAAUCAUGGACGUUUAUAACUUUUUUUCCCGGAAUGCGCACGUUUGAUUUGAGAAUUGGGAAUGUCGAGUGGCUUAUCCAGGUACGUACAAACACAGCCACCAUACAAACAUGCGAGAGGACCCGGACACGGUAGCUUCACGUUUUCGCACUUUGUCAGUUUUGUUCAUAUAGAUUAUCAAAAAUUAAAAAGGUAUGAUUUGCUUUCUGUUGUUGUCGUACCUUCAUAUAGAUUAUCAAAAAUAAAUAAAAAGGUAGUGAUUAUUUCUGAUAUAAAAUAAAACUAAAACUUCAACCAGAACUUGAAUUGUUUUCUUGGUUAAUGAAAAAACUGGACCCUCCUAGUUAACAUAAUUCAUUUGACAGAAAGAAACAUAUUGUAAUCUAAGGUUCAUAUUAUUUCAUACUAAAUGAAGAUAGCAUUUAUUUAAAAUGAUACAAAAUUGUACUCGUUAAUAUAUAUAAAACCCCAAUUGAAUACAUGAAAAUCACAUACAUGUUGUAGUCAUCAGAGAUAGUCAGAUAGAUGUAUAUAUAUUAUAUUUUAAUACAUUUUGAAAAUCAUAUAUUUGUAUACAAGCGAAGUACUUACAGAAGGCAUAUAGAAGGAACAUGAACAAGAAGAAGACUGGUUUUGCUGAAUUCAUCUCUAUACUUAAAUUACGAUAUACUAUUAUUGUUUCUGAAAUAUAAGCGAAAAUUUUCUCUGGUUAUUUAUGGCUUGUGAGUAUGAGGGUAACAUGAAUUAUAUAUUGCUUUUAUUUAGGGAAACAAACUUUUUGACACCAAUUUAUUAUUUUAUUCCAAACUUAACUUUUAUUAUUCUUAAUUACUAUUUUCACACAUAUUUGUUUCCUUUCAAGAAAUUUUUUCAUAAUUAUAAUAUACUUUACUUGAUUUUCCUAGAUAUUUUUUUACUUUCCACAGAUUUACUUGAAAAACUUAAUUAGUAUACAAAUUAAGAAGUUUUAAUUUGAUUUAAAUUACUUGUGGCCAAUUUUUUAAGUUGUAUACUAAUUAAGUUUUAUACAACUGAAUUAGUAACAAAUUUGCUUUAGUUUGUUUUACGCAUAUUAAGAAAAUGUCUUCACUUUUUUAUUAUAAAUGUAUUGUUUUCUCUAUUUAGUGGUUUACAAUAGUUUGGACCAAUUGUCUUUUAAUAUGUGAUUUUAUUUUUGAAUUUUUAAGUUAUUAACCAAUAAAAAUUGCAUAGGAACACAUAAGACAUAUAUCUUUUUGAAAACAAGUUUAGAGAGAAAAAAAAAACAUUUAUCUUGCUGAAACAUGAGGAGUAUUGAAUAAAAUCCCAAUAAAAUAUAUUAUAUAUCAAAGUAAUACACCUUGUCUUAUGCUCAAUAAUAGACCUACAAUAUUUAGACAUUAAUUAUUAAAAUGAGUUAGCAUAUAUCAUACAACAUAUUAUACCAUGUCAUCUUACAUUAUAUAAUUCUAAAUAUUUACAAAAUCAAUUUGAGUAAAACACUUUUGCAAACCAUAUGUUCAAAACAAAAUUAUAUAUAUUAUGUAAAUAACUUUUAUAAGAAGUAUUUAUAAUAAAAAAUGUAUCUUAUUUAAAUCUAACCAACUCAAUAAAUGUAAUUCUUAUAAAUGUGUACAAAAUAUAACGAGAGAGUAAGCAUGGGAAUUCGGAUCUUUGAUGGGGUACAGAUCGAUUUUUUUCGGGUUUUAGAGAAAUUUUUGGUUUGUGUUCGGUUCAGUUCAUUUCGGAUCCGGGUGGGUUCUAGUCCAUUAUAUAAAUACUUGUAACGUACCUGCAAAUUUUAGUUAUGUAACGGGCUGGAUUGGUUCGGAUAUUCAAAAUACCUGAAAACACAAAAAUAUUCAAAACACAAAGAAAUAUCAAAAAAAAUCAAAUACUCAAAAAUAUCCAAAAUUUUAUAAGAAAUCUAAUCCGAGUAACCAAAAAAACACCCAAAUUUUAUCUGAAUACCUAAGAUAUAUUUUAAAAUUUUUGAAGUUCUAUCUAAAACCAAAACUAUAACCGAAAACUCAAACCAAAAACUUAAAAAGUAGAUAUAAUGCCAAAAAAACAUAUCUGAAAUACACAUAUAUACCUAAUAUAUAAAAAAAUAUUUGGGUCCUUUAUGUACCGGAUCCUAGACUCGAACAGAGACCCAUGGGUCAAAAAAAUAUAAAAUAGGUAUAUUCCCUAAGCAAACAUGUAUUUUAGGUUUGUUUUUUUUUAAACGUUUACUAGAUUUUGAUCAGAUUUUCGGAAACGUGGAUUUUUUUGAUUAAAUAUUUAAUUCAGCAUAUUUUUAUAGGACAUAUAUUGUAUUUUAACAUGUAUUAAAAAUAUAUCAAAUUUUGAUUAUAAAUACACCAUUUUUAUUAAUUAGUUUAUUUUCACAAUUUUAUACUAAUAAAAAAUCAAAAAACACAAAUAAUAUUUAUAGAAGUUAAUGAAACACCAUUAUUAACUAAUAAACAUAUAUAAAAUGUAAAAAUGUACUUUCCAAAUAGUAUUUUUAAAUAAAUUUGAUUUUCAUAAAUAUUUAUUCAGGCUAGCUCAGUAUUUCUUAGUUUUAUGAUCAAGCCAGGCUUUCAUAAGUAGACUGGCUCACACAUAUAUUAUCAAUUUGCAUAAACAAAGUUGUCAUCUCAACUUAACCUACAGGUUAUCAAAAAUUAAAACUUAUAAAAUGAUAAGAACAGAUGAAGAAAAGCAUAUGACGUUCAAACUCUCCAAAUAAAUAAAACACAAAAGUGCGGCGAAUAGUUCUAAAGAGUAUUCUGACGAAGAGAAAAGAGGUUAAGAAAACUGGAACAAGACAAUCAAAAUGUUUAAGCUUUGGCAGAGGCACGGCCGUAGAACUUGUUCUUUUCCUGGGUAGUCUGGAAUUUGCCAUGUCCCAUCUUUGAGGAAGUGUCGAUAAACUUGAGGUUGAUCUGCUCCAUGGCAAGACGGGAAGUCUGAGUGAGUAGUGACUGUCUAAGAGUCACAACCCUCUUCUUUGGACCCAUGCAGCAUCCCUUGAUCAUCAAGUAGUCAUCCUUCACCACACCAUAGUGUGCGAAUCCUCCCAUCGGAGUCACAUCCUUCUCGGUCCUAUCAUAGCCACAACAAUCAUCAGAUCAGUUACAUAAAACCAAAAUAGCAGAGAGUAAGUGAAACAGUAGAUAGAGAAAUUUCAACUGACCUGUCGUAUUCAGUCAUGGCAGUGUGCGUCUCCUGACCAACCUUGCCCAACCUGUAAAUCUUCUUGUUAAGUUCCGUACGGUGAUGGUAACCGUUCUGACCAGCUCUAGCCACAGUGUAGGAGACUCUAGCUGGAUGCCAUGCACCGAUACAAGCAACCUUACGCAGACCCCUGUGAGUCUUACGUGGAAGCCUAGUCACACCCCAACGAGUAACAACACCUUCGUAACCUUUACCCUUGGUCACUCCAAUCACAUCAAUCAUCUCAUCCUUCUGGAAAACAGCGUCAAUGGGAAUCUGCUUCUCAAAGAAGCUGUAGGCAAAGUCGACCUUCUGAGCAAUGGUACCACCGUUGAUCUGGAUCUCCAUCAUGUGAGCCUUCUUCUGCUUCAACCCCUUCAUCUUCCUGAUCUGAGUGUGGGCCAAGACACGGAUGACAGUUCCGUACUUCUUCAUCUUCUCGAGCUGAGACUGGAUGCUCUUCUUGCCUUCCUCGGUUUCGUACUGCUUGGCGUAGCCGGUGAAGGCCUUCUUCUUGGACUUGGCCCAGUUCUUGUAGAACCUUCUCCUGACCUCCUCGCUCAAGUGCUGUGCCCAGACGGUGUUGAGAGACCUCAGGCCACGGGGGGUUUUGACGUAGGCAACAACACCAACGACCACCAUUGCAGGUGUCUCGAUGAUGGUAACAGCCUCGCAGGUCUCCUUCUUGUGAAGCUCUAUACAAGAUUACACAAGCAAACAAAAUAAUAUAAAUAUUGAAAUUUGA